UACGGAGGGAGCUAGCGUUGUUCGGAAUUACUGGGCGUAAAGCGCACGUAGGCGGCGAUUCAAGUCAGAGGUGAAAGCCCGGGGCUCAACCCCGGAACUGCCUUUGAAACUAGAUUGCUAGAAUCCUGGAGAGGUUAGUGGAAUUCCGAGUGUAGAGGUGAAAUUCGUAGAUAUUCGCAAGAACACCAGUGGCGAAGGCGGCUCACUGGCCCGAUACUGACGCUGAGGCACGAAAGCGUGGGGAGCAAACAGG
rnacentral:rRNA from 1 species